rnacentral:misc_RNA from 1 species
GUAGGUGAACCUGCGGAAGGAUCAUUAUCACGUACUUUUGUACUAACCUAUUAAAACGUUGCAUAGUCGUGGAGUCAGUUGAUGUGUCAGAGUGCUUACACUCGCAUUCGGCCAGGUAGAUGAAAUACUCAUCUAUCGAUGAAUGGCUGUGUGAUGAAAUGCGAAAGAUGUUUACUCGCUCAGCUUCUAGCUGAAAGCCUUCAACGUACGACCUACGGCGCCUUUUCUACCGAAUACCAAUUCUCACAUUUAAUUUUACCACUUUAACCUUUUAUUUAUAAACUCGUCUGCUUAACCGUAGACCUCGAACAACAUGUUGUGUAGAAAGCUGCUUUCUCUGAAAAGAGAGGUAGGUUAUACCAAUACGAAAUUAAAAAGAACAACUCUUAACAACGGAUAUCUUGGCUCUC